UUAAUACCGGAUAGAUCAAAGGAACUGGAAUGUUCUCUGGUCUAAAACUCCGGUGCCCAAGGAUGGGUCUGCGGCCUAUCAGGUAGUAGUGGGUGUAACGUACCUACUAGCCAGCGACGGGUAAGGGUUGUGAGAGCAAGAUCCCUGAGAUGGAUUCUGAGACAUGAAUCCAGGCCCUACGGGGUGCAGCAGGCGCGAAAACUUUACACUGCGGGAAACCGCGAUAAGGGGACCCCGAGUGCCAGCACCUAGUGCUGGCUGUCCUACUGUCUAAAUAACAGUGGUUAGCAAGGGCCGGGCAAGACCGGUGCCAGCCGCCGCGGUAACACCGGCGGCCCGAGUGGUAACCGUUUUUAUUGGGUUUAAAGGGUCCGUAGCCGGCUUACUAAGUCUCUUGGGAAAUCUGGCGGCUCAAUCGUCAGGCGUUCA
rnacentral:rRNA from 1 species